rnacentral:rRNA from 1 species
UACGUAGGGAGCAAGCGUUGUUCGGAUUUACUGGGCGUAAAGGGCGCGUAGGCGGCCUGUCAAGUCAAUUGUGAAAUCUCCGGGCUUAACUCGGAACGGUCAAUUGAUACUGUCAGGCUAGAGUGCAGAAAGGGCAAUCGGAAUUCUUGGUGUAGCGGUGAAAUGCGUAGAUAUCAAGAGGAACACCUGAGGCGAAGGCGAGUCCCUGGACAACUCCUGACACUGAGGCACGAAAGCUAGGGGAGCAAACAGG